UGGACCCUGCUUUCAUUUGGUGCAUAGAUUCAUGAACAUUUCUAGCACCAUUUGAAAUCAGUUUCCA
rfam:Lingula anatina scaffold2863, whole genome shotgun sequence.